UUGGAAUUUAUAAUCAUUUUUUUUUUUUAAAUAAAUAUGCGUUAGAUGUGAUUGAUUAUAUGAACAGGCGAAAUAAACCCAGUAAUUUUGGUUCGCAUGGUACUAAAAUGGGUAAUAGUACAUACGUACAUAACAAAAAACAUAUUAAAGUACAUACAGAACAACCUUUUGAACAGCUUAAAAACACAAACAUACACGAAAAACAUCAAUCAAAAUUAAAUAUAAAUAAUAUCAAAUCUUCGAAAAAAAAAACACACACAAAUAAAAAAUUUAAAAGUAAUAAAGGUAUAUAUCAAACUAUGUGUGAGCGAGGUGGUUAUUUUAACUGUUACGGUGAUAAGGACAUUAAUAAUAAGUUAAAAGGAAAGACGUGUAAUAUAGAAGGCCAAAUUAAUAAAAUGAGAAAAUUAGUUGAAGAUAAUGAGUCUAAUGGAUUGGGAGAAUCAAAGGAAGAUGGGGGAUUAAGUACAUGUUGUGGUGGUAAUAGCACUUUUAAUACAGAUAAAAAGAAAAAAAAUAUAUAUUUUCACUAUACUAGUACUAAUAAUAAUUCUUUAUAUGACAGAUGCAAAAAAAAACUGCGCAGUAGUAAUAAUAAUAGUAGCUGUAGCAAUAAUAAUAGUGGUAGUAGUAACAGCAAUAGUAACAGUAGUAGUAACAGCAGUAGUAACAGCAGUAGUAACAGCAGUAGUAACAAGAGUAGUAACGACUUCUUUUUGGAUAACUCUAAAAAAAGCUAUUUAAACAUACCAUUAAACAAUAUUUUAAACUAUAUAUUAAUUUCAAACAAUAAGUACAACACUUAUUUGUCAUUUUUUGAUUUCUUUUACAUAAAUAAAAAUACAAAAAAAGUAUUAAAAUCAAUGAAAGAGAAAAAUAGUAUUUUAUUAUUGGCAUGUUUAUUAAGUGUACCACAAAUUGAUUAUAUAAAAAUGAAGAAUUUUUUUUUUUUUAUUGAUGAAUUUUUUUAUUAUGAAAAAAACAAUUUUUUUUUAAAAGAACCAACGGAUGUUAAUAUGAAAGCAUGUAUUUUUAAACAUAAAAAUGGGGUCAAUCCUGUAGUUGAAGAGGGUAACAAAUUUUAUACAUACACAGAUAAAAAUAAUACUCAUAAUAAAUGUGAUUUUUAUUAUAAAACACAAACCGAUUUGGGGAUUAUCAACAGAGCUACUAACAGUAGUAACAUUCGCAACGAAGAUAUUAACAAUAGUAGCAUUAAUAACAGUAUUAACCAUCCAUGCUUUUCUACGUACUCUAUUCCUGGUAGCACACAAUUUAAUACAGUUACACAUACUGAUGGUAUAAAUAACAAUUGUGCAAUAAAUAAUGAUUCUACAUAUGGAAUUAUGUAUAACUUUAACAAAAUAUAUGUCGGUAAAAACGAUACAAUGAAAAACAGUGAUUGUAACGGUGGUUGUAACGGUAGUAAUAAUACAAAUUUUGAUAACAGUAUCUACGAAUACGCAGCAUAUAAUCAUAAAAACAAAAAAUAUAAAAAGGAAGAAUAUAAUGAAAAAAAAACAGGUAUAAAAUACAUUAGUAAUAAUUAUAUAUUAGAUGGAAAAAAUGUAUUUGAAAGUAUGGGUGAAAAGUUAUUAAGUCAUAUAAAAGAGAUGAAUAAUACCAUGUGUUCAAACAUAUUUUUGCAAAGUAAUCAAAUAAAUUGGAUUUGUUCAUAUUUAAGUGGUGAUGUGGGUAAUAGUACAUAUAACACGAUUCGUAGUACUGUGGGUAGUAUUACGAGUAGAACAACGGGUAGCACUGUAAGCAGCACUGUGAGUAAUACAAUGAACAAUAAUGUACAUACGCAUACACCUGGUUUAAUACAAAACGAUUUGACCCCACUAAACGAUUCUGACAUUAUCAUACACACACAACAACAAAAAAAAUUUUUAAUUAAUAACUGUUCCAGUAGUUUUUAUCAUAACAUAUGUAGCCAAAUUGUAAGCAAAUUAGAUACUUCCAAAUGUGUUACUAUAAUAAGUAGAUAUUUACCUUAUAUUUUAAAAAUAUGUUUAAUAAUUUUUAAUUUUUUAAAAAGUCAAAAAUUGAUAAAUAUAUAUAUAAAAUAUAUGUAUUUAUAUGAAUAUUUAUAUACUAUGGUAUUAAAUAAAAUUUUAUAUGUUAGUACAGUAGAAUUUUUUCCCUUUUUACAAAAUAUAUUAUUAAAAGAGCUAAGUUUUUAUUAUGAAGAUUUUAAAAAAGAAAAAAUAAAAAAUUUUUGGAAGUUUUUUUUAUAUGAACAUACAUUAAUUAAUAUAAGUAAAAACAAGAGCAAGUUAAGAACCAAAUUAUUUCAUAAUAACGCAAUGGAAUAUUUUAUUAAGUUAUAUUAUUCUUUAUCAUUUUACGAUGUGCGUUUCUCUAUUCUUUUUAUGAAGUUAAUGAAGACACCUUUAUUUUACAAGAAUAUUGAACAUAAGAAAAAUUGCAUUUUGCAGAAUCUGUGGAGAGGAACGCACGAAAAACCUUUUUCGUUUUUUUUUAAAAAAAAAAAAAAUUCUAUUGAGGUAAAAAUAAAAACAAUAAUUCGUAUUAAAUUAGGCGAUUUGAACAUAUAUACAAGUGCUUUUGCGCAUAUAUAUAUAUAUAUAUACAUAUGCACAAGUUAA
rnacentral:lncRNA from 1 species